AGGGUGUAAACACUGCAGACUUGGUGUUGGAGGCCCUUUGGGGGCAUUCAGUGCCGGAGAGAAGUUGUUAAGUCUGCUACUUGGGGUGUACGUCCGCAAGGAUGAAACUUAAAGGAAUUGGCGGGGGAGCACCGCAACGGGAGGAGCGUGCGGUUUAAUUGGAUUCAACACCGUAAAACUCACCAGGGAAGACUGUUACAUGAAGGCCGAGAUGAAGACUCUGCUAGAUUUUCAGAGAGGAGGUGCAUGGCGUCAGUGACU
rnacentral:rRNA from 1 species